rnacentral:rRNA from 1 species
UAGGGAAUCUUGGACAAUGGGCGAAAGCCUGAUCCAGCCAUGCCGCGUGAGUGAUGAAGGCCUUAGGGUUGUAAAGCUCUUUCGCCAGGGAAGAUAAUGACGGUACCUGGAUAAGAAGCCCCGGCUAACUUCGUGCCAGCAGCCGCGGUAAUACGAAGGGGGCUAGCGUUGUUCGGAAUUACUGGGCGUAAAGCGCACGUAGGCGGCUUUCCAAGUUGGAGGUGAAAUCCCCGGGCUUAACCCGGGAACUGCCUCCAAAACUGAAAGGCUAGAGUCCGAGAGAGGUGAGUGGAACUUCCAGUGUAGAGGUGAAAUUCGUAGAUAUUGGAAAGAACACCAGUGGCGAAGGCGGCUCACUGACUCGGUACUGACGCUGAGGUGCGACAGCGUGGGGAGCAAACA